rnacentral:lncRNA from 1 species
CUAGAGUGUUUCUCUUUUCCUGACCAGAAACGGAUCCAUCUAGCCCCCACCCGGUCUUCCUAACAUCUUCUCAACAAUGUGAGGGAGCCUUCUGUUGAAAGCCCUCUGUGGCUUCUCAGCUCAUCCAGAGGGAGGAUCUGCCCCAGGGGCUAAAGAAUUGCCAACCUGACGCAGUGCUAUUGUAAGCAGUACGAUCUGUGUGACACAGGAGUUCUAAAAGAACCCUGAACUUCUCCAACACAAAGCACUUAGGUGGUGGCUCUCGAGCUAAUCUCUGUGUGCCGAAGAGGCUGCCCCUCCAAGUCUGAGUCUUCAGCUCUGACAGCUCUCACAUGUGGACCCUGCAGGCAGCAAGCAGCAGGAAGUCCAGAAGGAAGUGGUCUGAGUCAGCAUGGAGGCACCGUGAAGUCACCAGGCGCCUGAGCUU